GAUGAACGCUGGCGGCGUGCCUAAUACAUGCAAGUCGAGCGAACAGACGAGGAGCUUGCUCCUCUGACGUUAGCGGCGGACGGGUGAGUAACACGUGGAUAACCUACCUAUAAGACUGGGAUAACUUCGGGAAACCGGAGCUAAUACCGGAUAAUAUAUUGAACCGCAUGGUUCAAUAGUGAAAGACGGUUUUGCUGUCACUUAUAGAUGGAUCCGCGCUGCAUUAGCUAGUUGGUAAGGUAACGGCUUACCAAGGCAACGAUGCGUAGCCGACCUGAGAGGGUGAUCGGCCACACUGGAACUGAGACACGGUCCUGACUCCUACGGGAGGCAGCAGUAGGGAAUCUUCCGCAAUGGGCGAAAGCCUGACGGAGCAACGCCGCGUGAGUGAUGAAGGUCUUCGGAUCGUAAAACUCUGUUAUUAGGGAAGAACAAAUGUGUAAGUAACUAUGCACGUCUUGACGGUACCUAAUCAGAAAGCCACGGCUAACUACGUG
rnacentral:rRNA from 1 species